GGGCACCUACGGGGGCCUAUAACAUCAGGGUCCGCAAGGGCCCGCCAAGCAAACGGAAGAAGCUA
rnacentral:ncRNA from 1 species